GUUGUACAUUUGACUUGGCUUAACAUGGAAAUGUAUGCUUUGCGUUGCAUUUUCCCUGGAGGAGAAGGAAAGAGAGCCGCGUGCUGUCGAAAGACUUCGAGGCCUUAGAGAGAUAUAAAAUUCCAGAGGAUACACAUGCUCUUCUUCAGUCUUCAUCUUCAGUCUUAGCAAAAUAUCAGCAGGUUUGUAUUUGUGAUUUUCUGUUGGUAAAAAUUUGGAUUUGGAGUUCCCUGUACUGACCAACCAUCUAGAAUGGAAGAUCUUGACAGUGUUUGCUUUGAAAUUGAACUCGAGUUGGACAUAACUGAAUCAAGGCAGGAUCAAUAGUUCAUGAGAAAAGGAUUUUUCCAUUGAAGCACAAGCUCAUGAGUGCUACCAUGCCAGUGGAAGACUUCAGAAAGGUGUUUCCUGAUCCACCCCAAGUUAUAAAUGUUUCGUCCAGACAAUUUAAAUGGAUUAGUAACGCAUGAGCGAUUCAACGCGAAGGACGAGCUGGAAGAACAGGGCCUGACCACUGUUUCCGCCAACGUUUGACAAUGAGUUUCUUGACUGUUCUCCAAAGUCUUUGUUGACGGUGUUCUCCUUCUUUUGAAGUCUAUGAAAAUACCGGUAUCCAAAUUUCAGUUUCAUACUCCUCCAAAUGGUGAUACUACUAAUGAAGCAGAGGAUCACUUAACCUAAUUUAGUGGUAGCAUAUGCAGUUGCAGCAGCUGCAACUUUGACUGUGUCUAAUCCUUUUCAUGGCCAAUUUAGAGAUGUUCAAAGAAAAAACUAUGACUUAGGUCUGGUGGAAGUUAUAGUUCUCCAGUUAAUAGUGAGAAUAUGAAGCAGCAAGAGCUACUGAUUAAGAAGUGAAAACUGCAAGUGCUUUGUGUAAACUUUCAUAGUAGUAGCAGUGAUGCACUGUCAAGAGCUUAUGCUAGUGCAUGGCUAUGAACUUUCCAAGAGCGGAAUGGGGUGCUGCAAGAAAAAUGCUCUUCACCUGGAAACCAUGGAAGAAAUAUCCAAGCUGAGAAAGUAGCUCCUCAAAUAUGUCUUUGAUCCAUUUGGUGUUUAUGGAGGUGUGAAGGAAUUUUCAUGGACUAUGGUAGUCAGAAAGGUGUUAAAACUUGAAAGUGUUUGGAGGGAUGAUGAGAAGCCUCUCAGUGUCGAUGAGGAAGCGCUCUUAUGCCAAGCUAUCUAUGCUGGUUGGAUAGAUAGGGUUGCCAAACUCAUUAAAGGAAAUGCAUAUAUCAGGCCUGCAUGGUCAAAUAGACUGUGUUCCUCCAUUUGCAGUCACCUGUUUCUAAUAUUGCUCCCGAGUUUUUGGUGUACAGUGAGUUGAUCCAGACAAAGAAACCUUUCGUGUAUGGGGUUACUUGUCAGUCUAUAUUGGCUUGUCAAGUAUGGUCAUCUUGCCAAGCAU